rnacentral:rRNA from 1 species
AACCGACUAAAUAGUCCAACCAAUAAAGCCCAAAAUCCCAAAAUAAACCAAAACAACAUUAAAAAUAAAAAUAAAACAUUUUAUUAUCUAAGUAAGAGCGACUGAAAAGAAAUUAAUGGAACGAUAAAGCAAGUACCGCAAGGGAAUGUUGAAAUAGAUGUGAAAGAGCCCAGUAAAGAUAAAUUAAGCAGAGAUUAAACCUUGUACCUUUUGCAUCAUGAUUUAGUAAGAAGAACUUAGGCAAGAAGACCCUUAGUCUAAGGCCCCGAAACUAAGUGAGCUACUCCAAGCCAGCAUAUUAAUAUAGUGCCAACCCGUCUCUGUUGCAAAAGAGUGGGAAGAGCUUCGAGUAGCGGUGAUAAGCCUAUCGGACUUAGUGAUAGCUGGUUUUCUGAGAACUGAAUAUGAGUUCAGCCUCUAAAAUUCUCCAAACAUACCUACCAAAUUAUACCAAUUUAAUAUAACCAGGCCAAAAAGAAAUUUAGAGAGUUAGUCAAAGGAGGGACAGCUCCUAUGAAUGAGAAACAACUCUAACUAGUAGGUCUAAGAUCAAAAUCCUCAAGGUAAAUUACUUACGUGGGCCUGAAAGCAGCCAUCCCUUAAGAAAGCGUUAAAGCUCAAGUAACACUACCACUAUAAAUUACGAAAAACUACUCUUACCCCACUUAACCUAUCAGAAUAUCUUAUACUUAUAUAAGAGAAAUUAUGCUAAAAUUAGUAACAAGAGGGUAGACCCUCUCCUUACAUAAGUGUAACUCGAAAUGGACUUACCUCCGAGAAAUAACGACCCCAAUAAAAGAGGGACUAGGAGAAAGUACUAAAUACUAGAAACACCUCCUACCCCAACCGUUAACCUUACACCAGAAUGUAAUUAAGGAAAGAUUAAAAGAAAAAGAAGGAACUCGGCAAGCACAAACCUCGCCUGUUUACCAAAAACAUCGCCUCUUGAAACAUUUACAUAAGAGGUCAUGCCUGCCCAGUGAUAAUAAUUCAACGGCCGCGGUAUUUUGACCGUGCAAAGGUAGCGUAAUCACUUGUCCCUUAAAUGGGGACCCGUAUGAAUGGUUUGACGAGGGUUUAACUGUCUCCUUUUUCCAAUCAAUGAAAUUGAUCUCUUCGUACAAAAGCGAAGAUUACCAUAUAAGACGAGAAGACCCUGUGGAGCUUAAGAUUAAUUAAUAGACUAUGCCUAGAUACCUGCACAACAGACUAAAAGCCUAAAGCUUACUAUAAAAAUCUUCAGUUGGGGCGACUACGGAGUAGACAAAACCUCCGAGAAGACCGAGAACAUUUGUACUCAAAACCUAGAGCCACUACCCAAAGUAACAGAAAUUCUGACUUUAAUUGAUCCAAACACUUGAUCAACGAACCAAGUUACCCCAGGGAUAACAGCGCAAUCCCCUUUAAGAGUCCUUAUCGACAAGGGGGUUUACGACCUCGAUGUUGGAUCAGGACAUCCUGAUGGUGCAGCCGCUAUCAAGGGUUCGUUUGUUCAACGAUUAAAGUCCUACGUGAUCUGAGUUCAGACCGGAGUAAUCCAGGUCAGUUUCUAUCUAUAAUAACGCUCUUUUCUAGUACGAAAGGACCGAAAAGAAAGGGCCCAUACCAAAAGCACGCCUUACUUUAACUUAAUGAAAACAACUCAAAAAAACAAAAAAGCACAUAAAUAAUAACUUUAGAAAAAAGUA